CCUUCCUUUUGUGGUCAUAAACCUUGUGUUAAAAUUUCAUUGAUUUCUAUUUACUUAUACUAAAGUUAUUGUGCGAAAACCAAGAAUAAUGCUUAUUUGGGCCCUUUUUUGGCCCUUAAUUCCUAAACUGUUGGAACCAAAACUCCCAAAAUCAAUCCCAACCUUCCUUUUGUAGUCAUAAACCAUGUGUCAAAAUUUCAUAGAUUUCUAUUCACUUAAACUAAAGUUAUAGUGCGAAAACCAAGAAAAUGCAUAUUUGGGCCCUUUUUGGCCCCUAAUUCCUAAAAUGUUGGGACCAAAACUCCCAAAAUCAAUCCAAACCUUCCUUUUGUGGUCAUAAACCUUGUGUUUAAAUUUCAUUGAUUUCUAUUCACUUUUACUAAAGUUAGAGUGCGAAAACUAAAAGUAUUCGGACGACGACGACAACGUGAUAGCAAUAUACGACGAAAAAUUUUUCAAAUUUUGCGGUCGUAUAAAAAUUAAUAUCUAAAUACAUGGUUAGAUUUGGCAUAUCAAAGAACCCCAAUAAUUCAUUUUUUUGAUAAAAUCAAACAAAAAGUUUAAUUUUGGACCCUUUUGGCCCCUAAUUCCUAAACUGUUGGGACCAAAACUCCCAAAAUCAAUCCCAACCUUCCGUUUGUGGUCAUAAAACCUUGUGUUAAAAUUUCAUAGAUUUCUCUUCACUUAUACUAAAGUUAUUGUGCAAAAACCAAGAAAAAUGCUUAUUUGGGACCUUGUUUGGCCCUUAAUUCCUAAACUGUUAGGACCAAAACUCCCAAAAUCAAUCCCAACCUUCCGUUUGUGGUCAUAAACCUUAUGUUAAAAUUUCAUAAUUUUCUGUUUACUUAUACUAAAGUUAUUGUGCGAAAACCAAAUGUCUUCGGACAACGACAACGACGACAAUGCUAACGUCAUACCAAUAUACAACCAAAAAAUUUUCAAUUUUUGCAGUCGUAUAAAAACUAAAAUAACAAAUGCAAAUUUGUUUUGCAGUCGUAUAACAAGAAUGUGUCCACAGUACACGGAUGCCCCACUCACACUAUCAUUUUCUAUGUUUAAAGGACUGUGAAAUUGGAAUAAAU
rnacentral:lncRNA from 1 species